UACGUAGGGGCCUAGCGUUGUCCGGAUUUAUUGGGCGUAAAGAGCUCGUAGGCGGUUUGGUUAGUCAGGUGUGAAAUCUCCACGCUCAACGUGGAGGGGCCACCUGAUACUGCCAUGACUUGAGUCCGGUAGGGGAGUGUGGAAUUCCCGGUGUAGCGGUGAAAUUCGUAGAUAUUGGGAAGAACACCGGUGGCGAAGGCGGCGACCUGGUCCUUGACUGACGCUGAGGCGCGAAAGCUAGGGUAGCAAACGGG
rnacentral:rRNA from 1 species